CUCCCCCAAACAUAUUCUUUCUUCCUAUCUUUUAUAAAACACAACAUUCACCUCCAGGGAUGGAAGAUUCCUGUCUCCUUGGAGUGACUCCAUAAAUCAGCUUCAAAUCUUAGAUAUCUGGGCCACUGGCCUUGUCCUUGUUGCCAUUAACUCUAGGACAUGAGCUUCACUCUAAGUAUCCUGGUGACACAGGGAAGUGGAUCUGAGGGGACAACACUUGGAUGAAGGGUAUCAUAUGGCAGGAGGCACUUGAGAAAGUGACUCUCAGCAGUGGAAGUUAAUGAGAAGAAGGAAGGGGGCAGAAACUGGAGCAGCAUGGACCCUGCCACCAUCUGGUAUCUCUCCAGAGCUCCGCAGACCCUGAAGAGUGGCCCACAAUCUUCUCAUGUAGAAAUUCUGUUGAUACCCCAGUUAGACUUUGGCCAAGACAAAGGAGACAAAUGGCCAUUCAAAGCUAGGCUCUCUCUUGUGGUACCUCUCUGAUUUUGCUCCCAUGUCUUCCUCCUGAUGUUUGGAUAAAGAACGUUCAGCUUCAUGGAAGUUGGGACCACAAGCAAGAAGCAACAUAAGCAUGUCAGACAGCUCCACCAACUCAAGAGAAGAGGCUUCAGCUGAAACUUACCCUGCCACUCCUUUGGUCUUGGACUGCCAUUGUUUAGCUCUGUAAGGAAUACAUUCCUAUGAUUUGAGCCAUUCACUCCAUGGUAUCUUACAUGGUGGCCUGCAAAGACCAAGAUUCCUUUCUCAUAUCUGCAUUCUCCUUGUCCCAAUGUGGCAGUUUUCAAAUCUUUGCAAAUUAAUGGUCUUUCCUUCCAAUCUGAUCUCCCAUAAUUCACUACCACCUCCAGAACAGC
rnacentral:lncRNA from 1 species